rnacentral:rRNA from 1 species
GAUGAACGCUGGCGGCGUGCCUAAUACAUGCAAGUCGAGCGAACAGACGAGGAGCUUGCUCCUCUGACGUUAGCGGCGGACGGGUGAGUAACACGUGGAUAACCUACCUAUAAGACUGGGAUAACUUCGGGAAACCGGAGCUAAUACCGGAUAAUAUAUUGAACCGCAUGGUUCAAUAGUGAAAGACGGUUUUGCUGUCACUUAUAGAUGGAUCCGCGCCGCAUUAGCUAGUUGGUAAGGUAACGGCUUACCAAGGCGACGAUGCGUAGCCGACCUGAGGGGGUGGUCUGCCACACUGGAACUGAGACACGGUCCAGACUCCUACGGGAGGCAGCGGUAGGGAAUCUUCCGCAAUGGGCGAAAGCCUGACGGAGCACCGCCGCGUGAGUGAUGAAGGUCUUCGGAUCGUAAAACUCUGUUAUUAGGGAAGAACAAAUGUGUAAGUAACUAUGCACGUCUUGACGGUACCUAAUCAGAAAGCCACGGCUAACUACGUG